CAGUAGCCGCGGUAACACAGAGGGUGCGAGCGUUAAUCGGAUUUACUGGGCGUAAAGCGUGCGUAGGCGGCUUCUUAAGUCGGAUGUGAAAUCCCUGAGCUUAACUUAGGAAUUGCAUUCGAUACUGGGAAGCUAGAGUAUGGGAGAGGAUGGUAGAAUUCCAGGUGUAGCGGUGAAAUGCGUAGAGAUCUGGAGGAAUACCGAUGGCGAAGGCAGCCAUCUGGCCUAAUACUGACGCUGAGGUACGAAAGCAUGGGGAGCAAACAGGAUUAGAUACCCCUGUAGUCCCUGUCUCUUAUAC
rnacentral:rRNA from 1 species